AUGCUUGUGUAUGUUGAUGAUAUUGUGAUUGCUGGCUCCACUCCGGCUGCAGUUGAUCGUUUGGUACGAUCCAUCUCCGACAGUUUUCCUAUCAAGGAUCUUGGUCCUCUACGUUAUUUCUUGGGGCUUGAAGCGUCCUUCAAUUCAGGGGGCAUGACGCUGACUCAAAGAAAGUAUGCACUUGAUCUUCUUCAUCGUGUGAGUAUGGAGAAUUGUAGGCCUACCUCUACACCAUUAUCUGCCACUGAGCACCUGGCUCGUGAGGUCGGCACCCCUUUGGGUGUUGAGGAUGCCACUCGAUAUCGCAGCAUUGUUGGAGGACUUCAGUAUUUAACGCUCACUCGUCCCGACCUGUCCUUUGCAGUCAACAAGGUUUGCCAGUAUCUAUCACAAUCAACUAAUGAGCAUUGGGAAGCUGUCAAGCGUAUAUUGCGUUAUGUCAAAGGGACUUUGAAUACGGGAUUGCAGAUUCAUAAAUCUCCUUCCACUGGUGUCAGUAUUUUCACGAAUGCUGAUUGGGCUGGAUGCAUUGAUGACCGCCGUUCCACUAGUGGUUUUGCUGUGUUUGUUGGCUCCAAUCUUGUCUCAUGGAGUUCCAAGAAACAGCCAACUGUCUUCAGAUCAAGUACGGAGGCGGAGUACAAAGCUUUAGCUAAUGGAGCAGCUGAAGCAAUCUGGGUGGAGAUCUUACUCAAGGAGCUUGGGGUUUUCAAGCAGCGUACCGCCAUUCUGUGGUGUGAUAAUCUUGGGGCUACAUACCUGACGGCAAACCCAGUCUUUCACGCAAGAACCAAGCACAUAGAGAUAGAUUUUCAUUUUGUGCGUGAGCGCGUUGCUUCUGGUGUUUUAGAUGUCAGGUUUAUCUCGACUAAUGACCAACUGGCUGAUGUAUUUACUAAACCGGCCACACGAUAG
rnacentral:rRNA from 1 species